rnacentral:rRNA from 1 species
UACAGAGGGUGCAAGCGUUAAUCGGAAUUACUGGGCGUAAAGGGUGCGUAGGUGGUUUGAUAAGUUAGGUGUGAAAGUCCCGGGCUUAACCUGGGGAUUGCGCUUAAUACUGUUAAGCUAGAGUCCUGUAGAGGGAAGUGGAAUUUCCGGUGUAGCGGUGAAAUGCGUAGAUAUCGGAAGGAACACCAGUGGCGAAGGCGACUUCCUGGACAGAGACUGACACUGAGGCACGAAAGCAUGGGAGCAAACAGG